GACGAACGCUGGCGGCGUGCUUAACACAUGCAAGUCGAACGGAAAGGCCCUGCUUGCAGGGUACUCGAGUGGCGAACGGGUGAGUAGCACGUGGGUGAUCUGCCCUGCACUUCGGGAUAAGCCUGGGAAACUGGGUCUAAUACCGGAUAGGAGCCAGUUUUAGUGUGAUGGUUGGAAAGUUUUUUCGGUGUAGGAUGAGCUCGCGGCCUAUCAGCUUGUUGGUGGGGUAAUGGCCUACCAAGGCGGCGACGGGUAGCCGGCCUGAGAGGGUGGACGGCCACAUUGGGACUGAGAUACGGCCCAGACUCCUACGGGAGGCAGCAGUGGGGAAUAUUGCACAAUGGGCGCAAGCCUGAUGCAGCGACGCCGCGUGGGGGAUGACGGCCUUCGGGUUGUAAACUGCUUUCGCUAGGGACGAAGCUUUUUGUGACGGUACCUAGAUAAGAAGCACCGGCUAACUACGUG
rnacentral:rRNA from 1 species